rnacentral:rRNA from 1 species
UUCGUAGGGCGCAAGCGUUGUCCGGAAUUAUUGGGCGUAACGAGCUCGUAGGCGGUUUGUCGCGUCUGCUGUGAAAACUCGAGGCUCAACCUCGGGCUUGCAGUGGGUACGGGCAGACUAGAGUGCGGUAGGGGUGACUGGAAUUCCUGGUGUAGCGGUGGAAUGCGCAGAUAUCAGGAGGAACACCGAUGGCGAAGGCAGGUCACUGGGCCGCAACUGACGCUGAGGAGCGAAAGCAUGGGGAGCGAACAGG